CAAAAAACUCGUGUACUUAUUACCUUCUAAGUAAUAAUCGGCAGGUUCAAUUCCGCCUUUUUUCU
rnacentral:tRNA from 1 species